CGCUGACAAAAACGCGUGGCACACACAGCGACACACAAUCAUUCAUUCUCUCCAAAUGCUUUUGUCUCUAUUGCUUGCUUGUCACAAUAUCCCUCAGAUCAUCAAGUUUCCAUUCCUCCAAAAACACAGUUGCCUUUUAGGAACACUUGGGUGGGACAAAACUCACGAUUAUGUUUACAGACGAGAUAACUACUCAUUUACUGCUGAGCUUCCUGCAUGUUCCGUUUAGAGAGAAAAUGAUGGCAUAUGAAGGAGUUAUACAGUAUUUAAAUGAUCAUGAUGUUACAACCCCCUCCCAGAAGACUAUGUGGCAGGCUGUCCAGAGGAAAUGCUUUAUUAAGAUCCCGGAGACAUAGAGCCAGGGUGACUUAACUCCUACAUUACUGUCUAAAAGGCCAUAGAAUAAGGAGUUGAGGUUCAUAUAAGCCCUCUGUGGUAGAACCCUGUAUGACGUGGAAUCAGUAGAGCUCUCCAAACCCACACUUCCCACAGCCAGCUCCUACUCCAUUCAGAUGGGAUCAUUCCUAGCAGUGUCCACCAGGUGAUGCACUAAAUCAACCUAAAUCAGCAUCUGUCCAUCAGCCCGAGGUGAACGAUGACCACUGUUCAUCUACUCCUACAGGGUCACCCCCUCCCCCAGUCACCAUGACAAUACAGGAGGAGAAGGAACGUGCAUACAGCAGCAUCAUCAUCACACUCCUGUGCUGCAGCUUAAAUCCAAUCAGAUUCACAGUCAGUGAUGGGAGAUACUUAAGGAAUGGAAGGAACCUCACGAAUCAUAUAUAAGCAAUGUUAUGAAAUAAAUUCAAGGUAUAGUCCUGACAGACUAAA